GAUGAACGCUGGCGGCGUGCCUAAUACAUGCAAGUCGAACGAAACUUCUUUAUCACCGAGUGCUUGCACUCACCGAUAAAGAGUUGAGUGGCGAACGGGUGAGUAACACGUGGGCAACCUGCCCAAAAGAGGGGGAUAACACUUGGAAACAGGUGCUAAUACCGCAUAACCAUAGUUACCGCAUGGUAACUAUGUAAAAGGUGGCUAUACUACCGCUUUUGGAUGGGCCCGCGGCGCAUUAGCUAGUUGGUAGGGUAAAGGCUUACCAAGGCAAUGAUGCGUAGCCGAAUUGAGAGGUUGAUCGGCCACAUUGGGACUGAGACACGGCCCAAACUCCUACGGGAGGCAGCAGUAGGGAAUCUUCCACAAUGGGCGAAAGCCUGAUGGAGCAACGCCGCGUGGGUGAAGAAGGUCUUCGGAUCGUAAAACCCUGUUGUUAGAGAAGAAAGUGCGUGAGAGUAACUGUUCACGUUUCGACGGUAUCUAACCGGAAAGCCACGGCUAACUACG
rnacentral:rRNA from 1 species